UACGUAGGGGGCAAGCGUUGUCCGGAUUUACUGGGCGUAAAGAGCUCGUAGGUGGUUUGUCGCGUUGUUCGUGAAAACCUGAGGCUUAACCUUGGGCGUGCGGGCGAUACGGGCAGACUGGAGUACUGCAGGGGAGACUGGAAUUCCUGGUGUAGCGGUGAAAUGCGCAGAUAUCGGGAGGAACACCGGUGGCGAAGGCGGUUCUCUGGGCCUUACCUGACGCUGAGGAGCGAAAGCGUGGGGAGCGAACAGG
rnacentral:rRNA from 1 species